UACAGCCAUAUCACAUCAAAACACUGCUUUUCAUACGAUCACCGAAGUUAAGCAACAUUAAGCCUGGUCAGUACAUAGAUGGGUGACUGCUUGGGAAUACCAGGU